rnacentral:rRNA from 1 species
UACGUAGGGCGCAAGCGUUGUCCGGAAUUAUUGGGCGUAAAGAGCUCGUAGGUGGUUUGUUACGUCUGCUGUGAAAACCUAGGGCUUAACCCUGGGCCUGCAGUGGAUACGGGGCAGACUAGAGGUAGGUAGGGGAGAAUGGAAUUCCCGGUGUAGCGGUGAAAUGCGCAGAUAUCGGGAGGAACACCGGUGGCGAAGGCGGUUCUCUGGGCCUUACCUGACACUGAGGAGCGAAAGCGUGGGGAGCGAACAGG